rnacentral:rRNA from 1 species
AUUGAACGCUGGCGGCAGGCUUAACACAUGCAAGUCGAGCGGGGUGAUGGUGCUUGCACUAUCACUUAGCGGCGGACGGGUGAGUAAUGCUUAGGAAUCUGCCUAUUAGUGGGGGACAACAUCUCGAAAGGGAUGCUAAUACCGCAUACGUCCUACGGGAGAAAGCAGGGGAUCACUUGUGACCUUGCGCUAAUAGAUGAGCCUAAGUCGGAUUAGCUAGUUGGUGGGGUAAAGGCCUACCAAGGCGACGAUCUGUAGCAGGUCUGAGAGGAUGAUCCGCCACACUGGGACUGAGACACGGCCCAGACUCCUACGGGAGGCAACAGUGGGGAAUAUUGGACAAUGGGGGGAACCCUGAUCCAGCCAUGCCGCGUGUGUGAAGAAGGCCUUAUGGUUGUAAAGCACUUUAAGCGAGGAGGAGGCUCUUUUGGUUAAUACCCAAGAUGAGUGGACGUUACUCGCAGAAUAAGCACCGGCUAACUCUGUGCCAGCCGCCGCAGUAA